rnacentral:ncRNA from 1 species
UGCCCCGCGCCGGGCGUAAUAAGGGCGCACCGCAGGUGAAGCAACCACCGUAAAAAAGCAUA